CUAAACAAACAAAGCUUUCUUCUUCUGAGCAAUGGCUGGGACUUUUUUUUCUCUUCUCCUACAAAAGAGGAGGUGAAGCUGACACUGAACAACAUUUGAAACGGGGCCUGGCACAUCACCCCCAGGUAGUUGUCGUCCUCCAGCCGGUAGCAUGACUUCUUGUGGAGAACUUUGUCCAAGGAGUGGGGUUUAGAUUAGAAAGAGAACAAACUAACAAUCUCAACAUCACCCCACAAGAAUACAGGCCGAUGAACACAGGAAGUUAAUGGAAACACAGACCUUGGUGCAAGCUGGCUAUUUAUUGCGGACCUGUAGCAAAGUGUAGCACUUAAAAAUAAAGAAGAAACAAAAAUAAACCUAAUUUAAAAA
rnacentral:lncRNA from 1 species